UGAAGCGACCAAACCUUCAGCUGGGAAGCCGAAGAACUUCUGCUUCCUCUCCUCCUGUCUGUCUCUCCUAUCCCUUCCUCCUCCUUCCGAACUCUUGGUUUCCACAGCUCUGAACCAUUGACAGUUACACUAUGAAAUUUCCCUGGAGUCGGUGAAUUUCCUCUAACUUCUCGAGAUUUUAAUGCGAUUUCCAUGGAUGCCGGCGUUCUCAGUUCUUCGUUUUCGGGAACCCUAGUCGGAAAUCCCAACAUCGAGAUUGUCAAUCUACGCCGACCGCAUUCUUAUUUCUGCACUGCUUCCAGGAAGCCUGGGUUCACUUGCUGCUUGGCAGAACCGGACGAGGGUGAUCGGCGAAAAUGGAUUCGACUGUCGCAAUUGUCGACGACACUGACGAUCGUUUCUUUCCCGUUGGCCGCGGGAGAUGCAAUGGCGAAGGUUUCUGAGAAGAGGCGGGCGAGGAAGCCGGAGACGCAGUUGAUGUCGCCGGAGGAGAUGAAGUCGUGGGCUCGGAACCUCCCUGCCGUCGUCGACCGGAUUACUUAUACGGAAAUUCUGGACCUGAAGUCCCAGGGGAAGAUCAAGCACAUUGUGAAACUUCCUUCCUUCACUCCGCGGCGCCGGUCGGAGACUGUUUUUGUUGUUCUUGACGAUUCUAGGGUUUUGAGGACGGUUCUUCCGUCGGAAGAGCGUGAUCUUAGGUUCUGGGAAUCGUGGGAUCAGAUGGGAAUCGGGUCCCUCUGCGUGAACGCGUAUACCCCGCAGGUGCAGGUGAAACCGCCUCCUGAGCCGUUCCUGGGUUUUCUGCGAAUUAUCCCAGCGUUUCUUGUCUCUCUCUUCCCUUCGAAGCCCCAGUCGAAACGCGUUAUUGAGCUACAGAUGGCAAGGAAGGCGCUGAAGGAGCGGAAGAUGGAGGCAUUAGCGAAAUUGAGGGAGCAGCGGGAGAUGAUGGAGAAGGCUAGUCGGAUGCAGAAGAAGAUGGAGGAAAGGAAGAGGAAGAAAGAGCGGAGGAAGAUCGAGUACGAGCGCUCGCUUGAGCGAGCGCGAGCAAACUACAACUAUAUGGCUGAAUUUUGGACAAAUAUGGCAACGGAUAAAAGAGUUUCGACAAUUCUAGGCCUUCUUUUCUUCGCAAUAUUCUACAGAACAGUGGUAUUCAGCUACCGCAAGCAGAAGAAGGAUUACGAAGACAGGUUGAAGAUCGAACAGGCAGAAGCGGAGGAGAGGAAGAAGAUGAGAGCCUUGGAGAGAGAAAUGGAAGGCAUCGAGGCCGAGGCUGAUGACGACGACGGAAAGGCAGGUGGCGAGCAGAAUCCUUAUCUUAAGAUGGCAAUGCAGUUCAUGAGAUCCGGUGCGAAGGUGAGGCGUGCUCGGAGUAGUAAGGUGCCGCAAUACAUGGACCGUGGUGUGGACGUGAAGUUUUCAGAUGUCGCCGGGCUAGGGAAGAUCCGUCUCGAGCUUGAGGAGGUUGUCAAGUUUUUCACUCAUGGGGAGGUGUAUCGCAGACGGGGUGUGAAAAUACCAGGCGGCAUACUUCUUUGUGGACCACCUGGAGUGGGUAAGACACUGUUAGCAAAAGCAGUAGCUGGUGAGGCUGGUGUGAACUUUUUCUCGAUUUCUGCUUCUCAAUUUGUCGAGAUUUAUGUGGGAGUUGGUGCUUCACGUGUGCGAGCACUCUACCAAGAAGCAAAAGAAAAUGCACCUUCUGUUGUCUUCAUUGAUGAAUUGGAUGCAGUUGGAAGAAAACGUGGUCUUAUAAAGGGUUCCGGUGGACAAGAACGUGAUGCAACUCUUAAUCAGCUCCUUGUUUGCUUGGAUGGAUUUGAAGGACGAGGAGAGGUGAUAACAAUUGCUGCUACAAAUAGACCGGAUAUUUUGGAUGAAGCUCUUGUAAGACCAGGACGGUUUGAUAGAAAGAUUUUUAUUCCCAAGCCUGGUCUCAUUGGUCGAGUGGAGAUUUUAAAGGUCCAUGCACGAAAGAAGCCCAUGGCUGAUGAUGUAGACUAUUUGGCUGUUGCCAGUAUAACUGAUGGAAUGGUGGGUGCCGAGCUGGCCAACAUAGUGGAAAUUGCUGCUCUUAAUAUGCUGCGUGAUGGGAGAAGUGAGAUAACUACUGAUGACUUAUUGCAAGCUGCCCAAAUAGAAGAAAGAGGGUUGCUUGAUAAAAAGGAGAGGACACCUGAAAUGUGGAGGCUGUUGGCACUUAAUGAAGCAGCAAUGGCUGUAGUAGCUGCUAAUUUUCCUGAUAUGAAAAACAUUGAAUUUGUUACUAUUGCACCAAGGGCUGGCAGAGAGUUGGGAUAUGUCCGUGUUAAGAUGGACAACAUGAAAUUUGAACAAAGGAUGAUGAGUCGGCAAUCUCUUUUGGAUCAUAUCACGGUUCAAAUUGCACCUCGUGCAGCAGAUGAGUUAUGGUAUGGUGAAGAUAAGUUAAGCACAAUUUGGGCAGAAACGGCAGAUAACGCUAGAUCAGCAGCAAGAAGCUUCGUUCUUGGUGGUCUUUCUGAAAAAUAUUAUGGGUUGAGCAAUUUUUAUGUCUCUGAUAGACUUAGUGAUAUUGACAAUGAAGCCUCAAGGAUUCUCAACAUGUGUUAUAACCGUGCAAAAGAGAUCCUGCAAAGAAAUAGAGCCCUCACGGAUGCUGUAGUUGACGAACUCAUUGCAAAAAAAAGUCUGAGCAAGAAAGAGUUCUUUUCUCUAGUUGAAGAAAAAGGUUGCCUUGAAGACUCAAAGCCUAGCAUCAUUGAAAUUCGAAACAGUAAGCGCUCACAGUUCCAAGAAAUGAUGAUGUCCAAAGUGGGAGAUAGCAGAUAGCAGGACAUUGAGAAAGCCUCAAAUUCUUCCAUGAAAUGAUGGUCUAUAUAAAUAAUAAUAGGUUACAUUUUUCAACACCAACCGCAGAUAUUAUGGUGCAGAUUAGCCACUGAGAGGAAUAUAUUUGUAUAUCAACUGAGAUGACAACGCUUGCCUGUUGAAACGUGUUCUCAAGGAUGGUGAAGUUGCUCGGAAAUAUACAUGGCACUCGAUCUCUGGUUCAACGGCAACGUGGCUUUGGUGUGAGGGGCAUAGGCUCGGCUAAGGCUUGAUAAAAAAAUACAACAGCACACAUGGGAGUUGUUUUGCAAGUUUUCUUGUGUCCAAUCCAUCUCAUAUUUUUAUGACAGUGGGAAUGUUUUUGGAAGAGAAAGGCCCUCAGUAAUUUGAUAGGUGUAGAACAUUUUCCUUCCUUUGCGCGAUCGAAGCUGAGGGAGAUAGAGAGAGAAAUGCAUUGUCAAAUAACGGACAGAGAUAGAGAGAGUUGUUGAAAAUGUUUUGCUUGGAAAUGGUUUCGUUUGGCAAAAACUAUGUUGACUGCUGCAGGGUCCAUGAUCUCAGUCCACAUUUUUUUGCAGAGAAUUAAUGUUUUGAAACUCGUGUGAA